rnacentral:tRNA from 1 species
GCCUGAGUGGCUUAGUCGGUUAAGCGUCUGACUUCGGCUCAGGUCAUGAUCUCACAGUUGGUGAGUUCGAGCCUUGUGUCGGGCU